rnacentral:misc_RNA from 1 species
GAUGAAGAACGUAGCGAAAUGCGAUACGUAAUGUGAAUUGCAGAAUUCAGUGAAUCAUCGAAUCUUUGAACGCAUAUUGCGCUCUCUGGUAUUCCGAAGAGCAUGCUUGUUUGAGUAUCAGUAAACACCUCAACUUCCAUAUCUUUUUUGAAAUGGGAGUUGGACUUGAGUGAUCCCAACGCUUUUCCUCACCGAAAAGUGGCGGGUUACUUGAAAUGCAGGUGCAGCUGGACUUUUCUCUGAGCUAUAAGCAUAUCUAUUUAGUCUGCCUAAAAAACAGAUUAUUACCUUUGCUGCAGCUAACAUAAAGGAGAUUAGUUCUUGUGCUGACUGAUGCAGGAUUCACAAAGACAGGCUUCGGCCGACUUUGUAAACUCGAUCUCAAAUCAAGUAAGACUACCCGCUGAACUUAAGCAUAUCAAUAAGCGGAGGA